GCGUCCGUAGCUCAGCCGGAUAGAGCACCAGACUUCUAAUCUGGGGGUCACAGGUUCGAAUCCUGUCGGACGUG
rnacentral:tRNA from 2 species